rnacentral:misc_RNA from 1 species
AUGCCAAUUGCAUGGACUGAAAGUUUAACAUUGAGAUUAGUAACUCUUUAUAGUAAACACGAGUGUUUAAGAAAUCCUUUUCACCCAAAUUUUAGAAAUAAACUAUGUCGUUACAAAGCUUACAAAGAGAUCGUGAAUUCUAUGAACGUUUGUGGUUUAACAGUUUGUGAUUGUAUCAAAAGAAUUACUUAUGUAAAAGCUCAAUAUUGUUAUGAAUUGUCUAAAAUUAGUGCUGCGAUAUCUUGUGAGAAGUUUUACAGUCCAACAAUGAGCUGGUUUCCAAUAGUACAUCAAUUAUUCUUUCCAUUUAUAGCAACUUAUAGUGAUACUUGUGAGAAGUAUGAUGAUAAAAAAGACACAUUUAAAAACUACUGUGACGAAAUAUGCGAUCAAUACAGAAUACGUUCAAAUUCUGUAGAACAAAAAGUAUUAAAUAAGGAUUACAAUUAUUCAUAUGCAACUUGUUAUUGUGAUAAAUCGAAUAUAAUUAAACCUCGUACUCGUAUCAAAAAACUAGAAAAGUCAUUUUUUAUCCCGGAUGAACAUAAAGAACCUACAGAUUGCAAAAAUUAUUUAUAUACGCAAAAAAUAGCUCGAAAUGAUGUUGCUAAUAAUACCAAGAAAAAUAUCAAUACAGAACAUGCAACCCAAACUGAAAUCUCUUAUUUCAAAACUGCAUGUACAACUUGCCAAGUGUGUACAGAAAAUGAAAUAUCUAACACUGCGAAUCUGAUGACUAUAAUGAUGAAAAAUGAUCCGAAGGAUAUUGGUUGUAUAGAUUAUAUUUUGGCAGAAAAUGAUAUUAAAGAAGCAAGGAAAAUUGAUGAGUUUGACAUGUUCGGCAAGAGUAUUGCGUUUCAAUUGCGAAAUAUAAGUUUUGAAGUUGCUAUUAAAUUAGAGAAACAUAUACAAGACCUAAUUACUCAAGAACGUCUGGAUAAUAUGAAAUCGAGAUAUUUGGAUUGUUAUACAUCUUCAACUUGUAGUGAAUGUACACUAUUACAUAAGGAAAUUACUUGUAGCUGCGGUCUUCCAGUUAUAAAAAUUAAGACCGAUUCUUCUUAUGAAUUCGAUUGUAAACAAUGGAAAUAAAAAUUUACGAAUUAUCUAUAUUUGUCUAGUAAUUAAAAAAAAAUCUAUCGAAAGAUAUAAUAAGUAAAACAUAACGUUGAUUCAUAAUGUUAAUUCAUAGAAUUGCAAAAAGAAAGUUAAUAAAAUAAUAUAAAAUAAUUUGACAAAUGCUUUCGUUCGAUGUAUCGCGCGAUCAAAUUCAGUUGUAUUCUUUAACCAAAAUUGACUUUAUUAUGUGGAUAGAUUUAAAAUUAUAAACAUACAUAAAAUUAUUAAACACUGUUUUUUCAGUAAUAUCGUAUUAAAAUUUGUUGAUAAAAAUAUUCUUAUUACAAAAUGUCAUGCAAAUGGAACGAGAAAUUAGUGAUUAAUUUUUUAGAAGAAUACAAGCAAUAUCCAUGUCUCUGGAACCCUUAUCAUAAGGAUUAUUAUAAUUGUUACGAGAAGAAUAAGGCAUUUCAAAAAAUAAUCGAUGACCUCAAUAUACCUGGCUUUACUGUAAUUGAUUAUUUGCACCAAAUCAAGAGUAUAAGAGAAAAGUAAUAUAUAAAGUGGAGCAAAUGAAAAUAAUCAAAACUUUACAACAAUGUCAACAAGAAUAUAAAUCAUCAUUUUCUUGGUAUAACAUAGUAGCAGAUAUGUUGGCGAAAGUAAUCACAGACGAGGAAAGAGUCCAGCAACGAGAAACAAUCAACAUUCUCAAAUCUUUAAGUAGUGAUAACAUAAAAAGAGUUAAUAAUGAAAAAAUUUAUGAACAGAGAAAUAAAUCGAUAGAAAAAUCAUCUCGUUUGCACAGGAAAAAUAACCUGAAUACAAUAAUAAAAGAAAAAAAAUAAGAUAUGUUCCUUAUUCACAACUUAGGCCAAAGGAUAAUUAUUAAUAGAUCGAAAAGAAGAUCAUCCAUCACUUUUAAGACCAACUAGAGAUACCGAGUUUGAAGUAACGGAAUAUCCUGAGCUUGUUUCAAAAACUUCAAUGGAUUCUAAACUUAAUGAUAUUUCUUCUUUAACAAAAAAUUAUGAUUCACCAUUUUUAAAAUGUCCAUUAUGUGGUUGGGAAGAUAUAAAAUAUAAGGAAAUUGAGGAAAACUCAAAAAAAAAUUAUACUUCUUGUUCUGGAUAUAAUAAAGACAUUUUUGGAGUUUA